rnacentral:lncRNA from 1 species
AUGCCCAGACCAGCCCUGCCUCUGUCCCCAGGCUCUGGAAGAGCUGGGGAGCCCUUUCCUGAGGCCGUGUAUGAGGAGAUCGCUUACAGCCUGGCGUGGGAGAAGCAGGCGAGGUUCAGUCUCUCAGAUGUCCCUGUCCUGCCUGAAGGUGACCCAGCGGAUGGCUACGACGAUGCUGGGGAGGUUUCUGACCCUGGGGAGGAUCCUGUCCCUGGGCAGGGGGACUGGGAAGUGCCCAGGACACCAGAGGAAGGAGAUGGGCCCAAGGAUACAACCACAGAGGGAAGCCUGCACUCCCGGAGAAGUGCUGAGGACCCUGGAGCUGAUGGAGACAUCUUGUCCCCUUUUCUGGUACACAUGGGCUAUGAUGAUGCUGAAGAGAUGUCUCUGGCAUGUCCCCAUGAGGACACCCAGGAUGUGACACCGAAGCCCAGUGCACAAGGGUCCCAGAGCCCCAUGCCAGCAGAGCCCAGCCCUGCUGAGCAGCUGAGUGCAGCCGGGAGGGAGGAGAGCUCAGUGCCACUGGGAGAGCCGUGAGUGCCAGGGAACGGUCUCCCUUUUCCAGCGGUCAGCAGACACACACGGGUAUUUCCUGUCUUUGUAUUCCCCUGUUUUUGUGUUUUGUAUUGGCAAAUGUUUAUAUUAAAACACUCUGGGGGGGGGCUUUGUCCCAGAUCCAUUGCUUUCCUGCCCAGGUUUUGGGGUGUCUCUCUGAGGCUAACCAAUUGGAGUAGAGCUCAAAGAUGCAAUAGUGGGGAAUGGUCAUUUCUUGGGACCAACAGGGUUGGGAUCAGGCUGUAGGGCUGCCAGAACCCCUAGUCCCUAGACACUAUUCCUACUGACAGAGGCAUUUCCGUCCUGCCAGCCACAGGCAAUUUCCAGCAAAAGUGGCUCUGUGUGACGCCUCAUGAUGCACUCACUGGUAGUGCCCAUCUUCUACAGCCUUGGGCCCUC